rnacentral:rRNA from 1 species
GACGAACGCUGGCGGCGUGCUUAACACAUGCAAGUCGAACGGAAAGGCCCUGCUUUUGUGGGGUGCUCGAGUGGCGAACGGGUGAGUAACACGUGAGUAACCUGCCCUUGACUUUGGGAUAACUUCAGGAAACUGGGGCUAAUACCGGAUAGGAGCUCCUGCUGCAUGGUGGGGGUUGGAAAGUUUCGGCGGUUGGGGAUGGACUCGCGGCUUAUCAGCUUGUUGGUGGUGUAGUGGCUUACCAAGGCUUUGACGGGUAGCCGGCCUGGGAGGGUGACCGGCCACAUUGGGACUGAGAUACGGCCCAGACUCCUACGGGAGGCAGCAGUGGGGAAUAUUGCACAAUGGGCGGAAGCCUGAUGCAGCAACGCCGCGUGCGGGAUGACGGCCUUCGGGUUGUAAACCGCUUUCGCCUGUGACGAAGCGUGAGUGACGGUAAUGGGUAAAGAAGCACCGGCUAACUACGUG